rnacentral:rRNA from 1 species
UACGGGGGGGGCAAGCGUUGUUCGGAAUUACUGGGCGUAAAGGGCUCGUAGGCGGCCAACUAAGUCCGACGUGAAAUCCCCAGGCUUAACCUGGGAACUGCGUCGGAUACUGGUUGGCUUGAAUCCGGGAGAGGGAUGCGGAAUUCCAGGUGUAGCGGUGAAAUGCGUAGAUAUCUGGAGGAACACCGGUGGCGAAGGCGGCUACCUGGCCCGGUACUGACGCUGAGGUGCGAAAGCGUGGGGAGCAAACAGG